rnacentral:rRNA from 1 species
GACAGAGGGUGCAAACGUUGUUCGGAAUUACUGGGCGUAAAGCGAGUGUAGGCGGUUCUCAAAGUCGGAUGUGAAAGCCCCGGGCUCAACCCGGGAAGUGCACCCGAUAACUGGAGAGCUAGAGUGUCGGAGAGGUUGGUGGAAUUCUCGGUGUAGAGGUGAAAUUCGUAGAUAUCGAGAGGAACACCGGUGGCGAAGGCGGCCAACUGGACGAACACUGACGCUGAGACUCGAAAGCGGUGGGGAGCAAACAGG